rnacentral:rRNA from 1 species
AUUGAACGCUGGCGGCAGGCCUAACACAUGCAAGUCGAACGAGUGGCGGACGGGUGAGUAAUGUCUGGGAAACUGCCUGAUGGAGGGGGAUAACUACUGGAAACGGUAGCUAAUACCGCAUACCAUCAGAUGUGCCCAGAUGGGAUUAGCUAGUUGGUGGGGUAACGGCGCACAAAGGGGACGAUCCCUAGCUGGUCUGUGAGGAUGACCGGACAAACUGGAAAUGGGACACGGUCCAGACUCCUACGGGGGGCAGCAGUAGGGAAUAUUGCAAUGAGCGCAAGCCUGAUGCGGCCAUGCCGCGUGUAUGAAGAGGGCCUUCGGGUUGUAAAGUACUUUCAGCGGGGAGGCGUUACCCGCAGAAGAAGCACCGGCUAACUCCGUGCCAGCAGCCGCGGUAAUAC